GGAUGUGAACACAAUCUGGCUGUGACAUCUGUCACCCCAUUGAUUGCUAGGGUUGAUUCAGUUGAUCUGACUGGCUAGGCAGGUGUCCUCUUCCUCCUUCUCCAUUCCAUGUGCAUCCCUCCCAAAUCUGCUCAAAGAGGAUGGUCUUCCCUGAAUAGGGACAAACAUGGUUGAGGGUAUGUGAAUAGCUGCACUUUCCUUCUAGAACCUUUGAAACAAGCUCUCAAGGUUGAUUUGUAGGAGAAUGUAGGGUGGUCAAGCUUCCAAGAUUCCAGACACAGCCAAAUAAGGUACUGCAUGUGGCAAUCUGCCUUUCUUU
ensembl:misc_RNA 7SK 7SK RNA